rnacentral:lncRNA from 1 species
GAGAGGGAGAUGAGAUGAGAAGAGGAACAGUCAGAACCGACAGGGAGAGGGAGAUGAGAUGAGAAGGGGAACAGUCAGAACCAACAGGGAGAGGGAGAUGAGAUGAGAAGAGGAACAGUCAGAACCGACAGGGAGAGGGAGAUGAGAAGAGAAGAGGAACAGUCAGAACCGACAGGGAGAGGGAGAUGAGAAGAGGAACAGUCAGAACCGACAGGGAGAGGGAGAUGAGAUGAGAAGAGGAACAGUCAGAACCAACAGGGAGAGGGAGAUGAGGUGAGAAGAGGAACAGUCAGAACCAACAGGGAGAGGGAGAUGAGAUGAGAAGAGGAACAGUCAGAACCGACAGGGAGAGGGAGAUGAGAUGAGAAGAGGAACAGUCAGAACCAACAGGGAGAGGGAGAUGAGGUGAGAAGAGGAACAGUCAGAACCGACAGGGAGAGGGAGAUGAGAUGAGAAGAGGAACAGUCAGAAC